CUUGGCCGGCGUGGCUCCCCUACCGUAGGAGUCGUCUUGGUCCAGGAGGGAGUCGGGCUCCAUGGCGUGUGGGCCCCCAGCCCCUGGCCCCACCUAAUUUAUGAACCGAGGCCGUCUCCAUGAGCGUCUGGGUUUCUCCUUUUGUAUUCCAUCUGGCGGCUUUUCCAACUAGAUGACUGGCCUGGCUGGGAACAUUAGAAGGGACUGAGGCGGCGAGAUGUCUAAAAUAGGAAGACGCCGGGGACGCUUGGCCUGGCUGCCCGUGAUGCUGGCUGCAGAGAUCUGGCCGGGCUGUGCAGAUGGAAACACUAAGAGGAGUAUCUUCCCUCCACUAUGCCAUGAUAUUUUGGUCUCAUCACAGGUCUGUAAGUCUUGGAAUGAGCUGACCGUGGACUGAAACCUCUGAAACCAUGAACCAAAAUAAAUGGUUCCUACUUGAA